rnacentral:misc_RNA from 1 species
CUUAAAAUUCUGGUGGCUUUUUUGGCUCUCUCCUCUCUUAUUUUUCACAGAUUUUGUGUUCUUGCCCAGCGAAGCAUAUUUUUGGAUUUUUUGCCCUCUCGAUUCUAUCCUAAGAAUAGGCGUUUUGUGGAUUCUAUUUAUCGGUAGCAGCAGAAGAAGAAGAAGGAGAAGAAGAGUCUAGAAAACUAUGGCGAUUUCUUCUCUCUCGGCUUCAACAAUUCCUUCUUUGAAGACACCGCACUCGCAGUUGAGUGCUAAUUUGAGUUGCUUGUCUUCGCUGCAGUUUCCAGCGCAGCUUCACAGGCUUCAGGGAACAGAGGGAUUUCCUCUCCUUCCAGGUCUCGAAUUUUGCCUCUGCUUGCAGCAAAGAAGCAAACAUUUUCCAACUUGGAUGAGUUAUUGGCAAAUGCUGACAAACCAGUCUUGGUUGACUUCUAUGCAGCCUGGUGCGGUCCAUGCCAGCUUAUGAGUCCAAUUCUUAAAGAGGUCAGUGCCAUCCUGAAUGACACAAUCCAGGUGGUGAAAAUCGAUACUGAGAAGUACCCUAGCAUUGCUGACAAAUACAGAAUAGAAGCAUUGCCUACAUUUAUCAUAUUUAAGGAUGGGAAACCUUAUGAUCGCUUCGAGGGUGCUUUCUCUAAAGAUAAGUUCAUUCAACGCAUAGAAAAUUCACUGCAAGUGAAGCAAUAGUUGAGGUUUUACGAAGAAUGCAAUAUGAAGACAUUACAUAUGAUAAAAGUAGGCCCAUUCUUCCCCUCCCAGAAUGUUGUAAUGACUGUUGUUGUACCUAAAAAGAGUGACAAACACAAAUUCUAAUGGCAUAUUUGUUUGGAACUCCUGGAAUUUUGCAAAAUGGC